CAGAUAGCGAGAACGUGCUCGCCGCCGCUGACCGCUGGUUCAAUCCAUUCGCAGCACCGAGGGGUUUUCCGAAAACAUGACACUGCACAUUUUCAGCCGUACCGGGAUUAAACCGCGCCAACAGUAAACCACCAUGGCUAGGACUGGUUUCUCUCAGGGUUUCCAGCAGAUGACUUCGAUGGCGGUGGACGCGGCCCUCUGGAUGACGGCGCUGGGCACUACGGCAGCUGAAAGGUUUCUAACUUCACCGACGACGGCUUCAUUUAGUGCUGACCCUUAGUGAUAACGGCCGUGUUCAUAAUGGUCCCCGCAGCAUUAGCCACAACCCCCUGGUCAUCAUCCGACAGCAG